GCCUCGGUGGCUCAGUCGGUUAAGCGUCUGACUUCAGCUCAGGUCAUGAUCUCACGGUUUGUGGGUUCGAGCCCCACAUCAGGCU
rnacentral:tRNA from 1 species